GAUGAACGCUGGCGGCGUGCCUAAUACAUGCAAGUCGAGCGAACGGACGAGAAGCUUGCUUCUCUGAUGUUAGCGGCGGACGGGUGAGUAACACGUGGAUAACCUACCUAUAAGACUGGGAUAACUUCGGGAAACCGUAGCUAAUACCGGAUAAUAUUUUGAUCCGCAUGGUUCAAAAGUGAAAGACGGUCUUGCUGUCACUUAUAGAUGGAUCCGCGCUGCAUUAGCUAGUUGGUAAGGUAACGGCUUACCAAGGCAACGAUGCAUAGCCGACCUGAGAGGGUGAUCGGCCACACUGGAACUGAGACACGGUCCAGACUCCUACGGGAGGCAGCAGUAGGGAAUCUUCCGCAAUGGGCGAAAGCCUGACGGAGCAACGCCGCGUGAGUGAUGAAGGUCUUCGGAUCGUAAAACUCUGUUAUUAGGGAAGAACAUAUGUGUAAGUAACUGUGCACAUCUUGACGGUACCUAAUCAGAAAGCCACGGCUAACUACGU
rnacentral:rRNA from 1 species